rnacentral:rRNA from 1 species
AACGAACGCUGGCGGCGUGCCUAACACAUGCAAGUCGAACGAGACCUUCGGGUCUAGUGGCGCACGGGUGCGUAACGCGUGGGAAUCUUCCCUUGGGUUCGGAAUAACAGUUGGAAACGACUGCUAAUACCGGAUGAUGACGUAAGUCCAAAGAUUUAUCGCCCAAGGAUGAGCCCGCGUAGGAUUAGCUAGUUGGUUAGGUAAAGGCUCACCAAGGCGACGAUCCUUAGCUGGUCUGAGAGGAUGAUCAGCCACACUGGGACUGAGACACGGCCCAGACUCCUACGGGAGGAAGCAGUGGGGAAUAAUGGAGAAUGGGCGAAAACAUGAUCAAGCAAUGCCGCGUGAGUGAUGAAGGCAUUAGGGUUGAAAAGCUCUUUUAACCGGGAUGAUAAUGACAGUACCGGGAGAAUAAGCCCCGGCUAACUACGUG